rnacentral:lncRNA from 1 species
UGUGUGUGUGUGUGUAUGUAACGGACCAAACAUAAUAUCUCGCCCGGCUGAAACGCGUUAUUGGUAAUAUAAUGCAUUCUCUAUUGCAAGGUAUCUCGCCUGUAGCCAACAAAAUCGUAUGAGCACAAACAAGUUUGGCUGCCUCCAUUGACCGAGGUCAAAGUCACAUCAACGCCUCUCGGGCUAAAUUUAAUCUGAAAAGGUGCCGCGUAUCUCAUAAUUGAAUUCUGAGUUGACGGCGUAUGAUAAUUCGAACACCCAGCUUGCGUUGCCAUUUGCCUGCACGGGCAUUCCGACUUGCCACCAGCAGGCCGACAAAUUUGCGUUCAUUUCUCUAUGAAGCACGCAAUCUGCUCGUUUGUACAAUUACUUUGCCCAAUGCUUGGGGCCUCCGAAGAGUUGCAGUGUGCCGCGAUGAAGCUCGCGGCUGUGAGGCGGAAGCAUAGCUAGCACAGCAUCAGCACUGCUGCAACAAGCACAGCUCCCACCACGUUGACACAUCAAUUUUCACACGUGCCGCCAUAGCUACCGGCCUGUACGGAUGCCCCCGGGGCCCCCGCCCUUUUUACGGCUUCGAGGAAGCCGACACCCGACGUGUUCCCAUCUGCAUUCAGUUUUGCAGCACGCACUGCAAUACUGCUGCGCUCGUUCGGCACCUAUUUGCAAAACAGGGAAAGUGACUUAAGGGUAUUCGCGGAUUAUAUAUAGAUUAAUAUGAUAUAAGAUGUGCACAUUCUUC